rnacentral:piRNA from 1 species
UAGGUUUCUAUCACCUCAUUGAAUAUUUGC